UAGCCUGACCAGAGCGUCCGUGGAAUCCAAGAAGCUUUCCUCCAUUUUUACCCUCGAGCAUGAGUUGAUUUCCAGAUGAAUUCGUCUCACCGAAUAUCGGAGAGGUUCUUCCGUAAGAGGUUUUGAAGAAUAGCGAUUUGAUCAGCACUGCCUUGUAGAGGUCAACAUGAUCGUAGCUUCCACCAACGGAUGUGAUACAUUCGUACGGAUAAUCCACCGCAAACUGUAUUUCAAUUUUUUUCCAUCAAAAACAAACAAUUUAUAAACGGGUGGAUAAAUAAUUAAGAACCAAUUGAAGAAAAACAAAGUCAAGUAGGCUAUUUUUAUUACCUCUUUCAGUUCCCCGCGAAUCGUCCCGUGUUCACGGGUUUCAAUUUUUUUGUUCUUUUCAUAUUCGAUCUUGAUAUAAGACACACAGCCAAGAUCUUUUCCAACAAUUAUUUUCUUCACACCGUCGAAAACACCAUCGUCGAAUGCAACUCCCAUGUUACCACCCAUUGCUUCAAUUUUUUCGGGUGCCGGAACUGACCAAAAAUAUGCACCAAUGGCAUCAAUAGCCUGACCAGAGCGUCCAUGGAGCCCAAGAAGCUUUCCUCCUUUUUUACCCUCGAGCAAGAAUUCUUUCCCAGCUACAUUUCCAGAUGAACCGAAUAUUGGAGAGGUUCUUCCAUAAGAAGUCUUAAAGAACAGCGAUUCGAUCAGCACUGCUUUAUAGAGGUUAACAUGACCGUAGCUUCCACCAACAGAUGUGAUACAUUCAUUCGGAUAGUCCACGGCAAACUGGAUUUCAUUUUCCAUUAGAAACAAGCAAUUUAUAUAUAUAUAUCUUUAUACACAUUUUAAAAGAGUUGGAAAGAAGAAUAGCAAAUUCACGUUAUCUAUAUUACCUCUUUUAGUUCUCCGCGAAUCGUCCCGUGUUCACGGGUUUCAGUUUUUCCGUCCUUUACGUAUUCGAUCUUGAUAUAAGAGACACAAUCAAGGUCUUUUCCGACAAUUAUUUUCUUCACACUGUCGAAAACACCAUCGUCAAAUGCAUCUCCCAUGUUACCACCCAUUGCUUCCCGCUUUUCGGGUACGGGUGCGGGGAAUGGCCAAAAAUAUGCACCAAUGGCAUCAAUAGCCUGACCAGAGCGUCCGUGGAACCCAAGAAGCUUUCCUCCAUUUCUACCCUCGAGCAAAAAUUCUUUCCCAGAGGAAUUCGUCUCACCGAAUAUUGGAGAGGUUCUUCCAUAAGAGGUUUUGAAGAAUAGCGAUUUGAUCAGCACUGCCUUAUAGAGGUCAACAUGAUCGUAGCUUCCACCAACGGCUAUGACACAUUCUUUCGGAUAAUCCACCGCAAACUGGAUUUUUUUUUGUUUUCCAUUAGAAACAAAGAAUUGAUAAGCUUCUAAAGGGUGGAUAAGAACCGACUGAAGAAAAACAAAAGUCACGAUAUUUUUAUUACCUCUUUUAGUUCCCCACGAAUCGUCCCAUGUUCACGGGUUUCAAAUUUUCCGUCCUUUUCGUAUUCAAUCUUGAUAUAGGACACACAGCCAAGGUCUUUUCCCACAGUUAUUUUCUUCACACCUUCGAAAACAUGAUCGUCGAAUACAUCUCCCAUGUUACCACCGAUUGCUUCCUGCUUUUCAGGUUCAGGAACUGGCGAAAAAUAUGCACCAAUGGCAUCAAUAGCCUGACCAGAACGUCCGUGGAAUCCAAGAAGCUUUCCUCCAUUUUUACCCUCGAGCAUGAGUUGAUUUCCAAAUGAAUUCGUCUCACCGAAUAUCGGAGAGGUUCUUCCGUAAGAGGUUUUGAAGAAUAGCGAUUUGAUUAGCACUGCCUUAUAGAGGUCAACAUUACCGUAGCUUCCACCAACGGCUAUGAUACAUUCACUUGGAUAAUCCACCGCAA
rnacentral:lncRNA from 1 species